GGCAUUUGGGAUGAUUUGCAGCCAAUUCAGAUACAGCCCAAGCCACAACAGCUUGAACUUUCAUAUGACCUUCUUUAAGAAUUUUCGCAAACACAGUGCAAGCCCCAGCAUUCACAAUCUGUUCGACACUUUCUGGGUCUCGUCCCAAUAAUCCAACGGCCCUGGCAGCAUUUUCUUGACCCUCCAUUUUCCCUUCUUUAGCCAACUUGAGCAAUGGAGGAACUCCACCUUCCUCUAUUAUCAACUUCCCAUAACGAUCAUUAUCUCGAGCCAAGGAAACCAAUGAAGCUGCAGCAUCUGACCUCUCCUCUAAAGAACCUGUAAAAAGUAUAGCAACUUGUUCCCAUAUAAGACAAAGAAU
rnacentral:misc_RNA from 1 species